rnacentral:rRNA from 1 species
UCCGCCAGAGUACUACUAAUUAUACAUUAAAAACUCAAAGGACUUGACGGUGUCUCAAACCCAACUAGAGGAGCCUGUUCUAUAAUCGAUAAUCCACGAUUCACCUCACCACCCAAAGCCUCUCAGCCUAUAUACCUCCGUCUUCAGCCUACCCUGUGAAAGUAUAAAAGUAGGCACAAUAGUUAAUAAGCACUAACAAGUCAGGUCAAGGUGUAGCUAAUGGGGUGGAAGAAAUGGGCUACAUUUUCUACCAUAGAAAUAAUCUUACGGAGGGCACUUUGAAACAAGGCCCAAUAAGCAGGAUUUAGUAGUAAUGUAUGGAGCAAAGAGCCUACAUUAAUUAGGACCUGAAACGCGUACACACCGCCCG